GGAGCUUGCGGUUUAAUUUGGAUUACAACGCCGGAAAUCUUACCGGGACCGACAGCAAUAUGAAGGCCAGGCUGAAGACUUUGCCGGAUUAGCUGAGAGGUGGUGCAUGGCCGUCGUCAGUUCGUACUGUGAAGCAUCCUGUUAAGUCAGGCAACGAGCGAGACCCACGCCCACAGUUGCCAGCGUACUCUCUGGAGUGACGGGUACACUGUGGGGACCGCCGCUGCUAAAGCGGAGGAAGGAAUGGGCAACGGUAGGUCAGUAUGCCCCGAAUAUCCCGGGCUACACGCGAGCUACAAUGGUUGGUACAAUGGGUAUCUACCCCGAAAGGGGACGGGAAUCUCCUAAAACCAAUCUUAGUUCGGAUUGAGGGCUGCAACUCGCCCUCAUGAAGCUGGAAUCCGUAGUAAUCGCGUUUCAACAGAACGCGGUGAAUACGUCCCUGCUCCUU
rnacentral:rRNA from 1 species